rnacentral:rRNA from 1 species
AGUGAACGCUGGCGGUAGGCCUAACACAUGCAAGUCGAACGGCAGCACAGUAAGAGCUUGCUCUUACGGGUGGCGAGUGGCGGACGGGUGAGGAAUACAUCGGAAUCUACUUUUUCGUGGGGGAUAACGUGGGGAAACUUACGCUAAUACCGCAUACGACCUACGGGUGAAAGCAGGGGAUCUUCGGACCUUGCGCGAUUGAAUGAGCCGAUGUCGGAUUAGCUAGUUGGCGGGGUAAAGGCCCACCAAGGCGACGAUCCGUAGCUGGUCUGAGAGGAUGAUCAGCCACACUGGAACUGAGACACGGUCCAGACUCCUACGGGAGGCAGCAGUGGGGAAUAUUGGACAAUGGGCGCAAGCCUGAUCCAGCCAUACCGCGUGGGUGAAGAAGGCCUUCGGGUUGUAAAGCCCUUUUGUUGGGAAAGAAAAGCAGCAGGUUAAUACCCCGCUGUUCUGACGGUACCCAAAGAAUAAGCACCGGCUAACCUCGUG